UUGACCUCGAAUCAGGUAGGGAUACCCGCUGAACUUAAGCAUAUCAAUAAGACGGAGGAAAA
rnacentral:rRNA from 1 species